rnacentral:rRNA from 1 species
AGAAAAGCAAUUAAGAGCACACAGGGAAUGCCUUGGCUCUCAGAGGCGAUGAAGGACGUGAUAAGCUGCGAUAAGCUGCGGGUAGGUGCAAACAACCUUUAAUCCGCAGAUUUCCGAAUGGGACAACCCGGCUGGCUGAAGGCCAGUCACCGCGCAAGCGGGGCUAACCUGGGGAACUGAAACAUCUAAGUACCCAGAGGAAUAGAAAUCAACCGAGAUUCCCGGAGUAGCGGCGAGCGAAAUGGGAACAGCCCUUAAGUUUAUUGAUUCUUAGAAGAACAUUCUGGAAAGUUUGACCAUAGAAGGUGAUAGUCCUGUAAUUGAAAAGAAUCUAUAAAUGAAAUCGAGUAGGGCGGGACACGUGAAAUCCUGUCUGAAUAUGGGGGGACCAUCCUCCAAGGCUAAAUACU